AUUGAACGCUGGCGGCAGGCCUAACACAUGCAAGUCGAACGAGUGGCGGACGGGUGAGUAGUGUCUGGGAAAGUGCCUGAUGGAGGGGGAUAACUACUGGACACGGUAUAUAAUACCGCAUACCCUCAGAUGUGCCCAGAUGGGAGUAGCUUGUUGGUGGGGUAACGGCUCACCAAGGCGACGAUCCCUCGCUGGUCUGAGAGGAUGACCAUCCACACUGGAACUGAGACACGGUCCAGACUCCUACGGGAGGCAGCAGUGGGGAAUAUUGCACAAUGGGCGCAAGCCUGAGGCAGCCAUGCCGCGUGUAUGAAGAAGGCCUUCGGGUUGUAAAGUACUUUCAGCGGGGAGGCGUUACCCGCAGAAGAAGCACCGGCUAACUCCGUGCCAGCAGCCGCGGUAAUUC
rnacentral:rRNA from 1 species